AAAAUUACGGUUGGCGGAUAUCCAUACGGGUAUCCGUAGGAUAUUUGGGUAAUACUAAACCCAACCGCAACCUAGUGCAUAUUUUAAUUUAUAAUACCAAACCUGUCUACAACCCACAAAAUUACCUGAGCGGAUUUUGGCGGGUGGGUUUAAACGGAUUUGUAGGUACCAUUGCCAUCGCUAGGUAUGCGCAGCCAAAUCAGAUUUCUAAUUCAAAACUCGGAAUGCAACUUGCCCACGACUAAUUUCGUCAACUUUUGCUAGUUAGUCAAUUUAACAAAAUGAUUAAAUGACAACUUUCCCAUCUUAUCCAUUCGACCACCUUCAAUUUUCAUUUUCUUUUUCAUUAUAAGUAGUUCGCACAAGCUUUGAUGAAGUAAAUAAAGAAAAUGGAAGCUAAUACAUGUGGUUACAAGUCUCACGCAUUUUGUUUUCCUGGCCCAGGUCAAAGCCACUUAAACUCCAUGCUUCAAUUGGCAAAGCUUCUGCACCACCACAAACAGAGGCGGAUUUACCAUAGGAUCACUGGGGGCUCAAGCCCCCACGAAAAAAAAAUCUCUAUUUCAUAAAAAAAAUUAACAUAUUUUUAAAUAGUCUUGUUAAAUUAUUAGAUAGUUCCAUCCGUUAAAAUUUAAAUUAUUAUUUUAUUAAUUACAAAAGUUAUACUUUGAUUUAAAAAUCAAAACCCACAAACUAAAAUAUUUAUAGUUUUUAAUUAUUGAAUUGUGGAUGCUACAUUUUAACUAGAGAUUGCAGUAAAUAAAAAAAAAUUACAUUCAAGUUUUCAGUUUUUAUGUCUAAUUAUUAUUUAAUUUAGCCCACGGUAAAUUAUUUUUUUACAUCUAACCACAAAAGUUUCCGCAUAACUUCUGUAAACUUUGAGAUCGUACGCAAACGCUGUCUCGAAUCAAGCGGCCAUCCCUGGAAUCCAGUCCAUAACUGAGUCCAAAUACUCUUUUUUAAGACAGCUUUCAUCUGCAAAUUAAUUAACACAAUAACUGAAUUAAUUCUCAGCUUUUGACAAGUAAUUAAUAGGUAAUAUGACCACCAACCUGUGCGCUGGUAUGUUUGGAUUGAUGAAAUCAAAAAAGAGGAGAGGAGAGGAUUUGAGAAAAGUAGAAAUAAAUAAGGGAAGUAAAGAUGAUUCCAUGUUAAGCCAACUAAAUGAAAUUGAGAUUGACAUCCUCUUUUACUCAUUUUUUCUCCUACUCUCUCCUUUCUAUUCGUCUCUUCUCCUCCUAUGUUUUUCAACCAAACAAGCUAUUUUUAAAUACCCCAGACCCAGAGCAUGAAAAAUUAUAAUAGGAAUGUUGAAAUGUCCUAGUACGACAAAAAACUUGAAAUUUUUUUUACCUUUUAGUGGGAAAAGACCCUUUUCUUUCAGUGUCUGAAAUUGUUUAAGUCCCUUGAAACUGCAAGCGGAGAUUGUGAAAAACAAUGCACUAGGAAGUCCAAGUCGUUGAGCAGCUGUAAUGGUGAAAGCCAUGAAGUCAUCUGAGAUGAUGCAGCUGACUGCAGGGUUAACAUUAUUUGAAGAAUCACUGAGUUUGGCAAGCAGGUCAAGAAAUGGCUGCAGCAAGACAUCAUUUAUGAUGUUUUCACAGAGAGAAUACAUGUCUUGAGUAGUGGAGCUUUCAUAUGAAGAAGCUGGAAGGCCAUCUGGUAGGGGUGGGCACGGGUCCGAUUGAUUAUCAACCCGACCCAACCCGCAUGUAGAAUGGGUUGAAAAUUUUCAAUCCGACUCAACCUAUUACAUAUCUUGACCCAAUCCGUAGUUUUGCGAGUUGGGUCAGGUUGGGUUGAUUGGGUUGAACUUUUGAAAAAAUCUAUUUUUAUAAUCUAAUUAAAUAGUGAAUAAAAAUUAAUUAAUUAAUUAAAAAAACUAAAAAAUAUAAAUAUUAAAAUCUUUAGAACAAAUCCAACAUUUCAAAGUUUUUAUAUUUAUAUUUUUUAAUUUUUAUAUGAAAUAUCAAAAUUUAUAUAAUAAUUUUUACAUACAUACAGGUUGACCGGUUGGAUGAGGUUAAUUGAAUUGAGCUUUUGAAAAAAUCUAUUGUUAUAGUCUAAUUAAAUAGUGAACAAAAAUAAAUAAAUUAGAUAAACUUAAAAAAUGUAAAUAUUAAAAUCUUUAGAACUAAUCCAACAUUUCAAACUUUUCAUAUUUAUAUUUUUUAAUUUUUAUAUAAAAUAUCAAAGUUUAUAUAAUAAUUUAUAUAUGUAAAUAUAUAGGGGUUGACGGGUUGAGUUGAGUUAAAAAAUUUUAACCCAACCCAACCCGCAAAAAAUCACACGAGUUGGGUGGGUUGAUGCCCACCCCUACCAUCUGGGAUUGCUUCGAAUCGAAAAUUGGGCAAGCCAUCCAAAGAGUGGUGGCCUCUUGAUUUGAGAAAGCAUCUAUGAUUGAACUCUGUGUUGACACAAGUUAUGUGAAAGCCUUUGUGAUGAAGAAGCUUUGCCGAUUGAAGCAUUGCUUUUAUGUGGCUUUGAAAGGGGCUUGGGAUGCAGACUGCAUGAACCUUGCUACAAGCUUUUAGCUUUUGAUUCCAUCUUGAUCUCUUCUCUCUAUGUCUUUGCAAUUAAUGAUCUAAAAGUACUAAAACGAAAAGUAUUGCAUCUAACUAAACACUGAGUUCACUCACACAUUUACAACCUUUCUUACCUUAUUUAAUUUGGAGAGAGUUAAUGAGUACGUAUAUAUUAACUUAAAAAAAAAAUUAAAGUUGGUUGGUAUGAAUGGUUCAGCACCCUAAUUUCUUAAGAGAGGUCAAGGGUUCAAGCCCCGCUCUCAUAUGUACGUAUAUGUACUAAACUAAUUAAUUAAUGUGUGUAUAUACUAACCUAAUAAAAAGUAAUGUCUUUCCCAAAUAUCUCAUGAUUUUUCAAUAAGGGAAUUAAAUGCACUCAUGCCAUAAGUCGGGUGGUGAACACUCUUUCCUCUAUGGUGGAGGUAUAAUUAAGCUGGAGUGUCUACGAGGGACUCAUCCUAUCUCAUAAAUAUCAUUUGAGUAGGAUAAAUCACGUUUGUAUAUAUGAUCUAGGUAGACCUCUAAAUUAUACUAAUGCAAAGAUAUUGCCAUAUAAAAUUGAAGUAAAAACAAAAACUUACGAAUCACCUUACCAGUAAUUCAGGUAGAACUAAUAGCACAUUCACAUGCAUGGAAUAUAUAGCACAUAUAUAUGUCAACUAAUAAAACUUUAAUAACUAACCAAUUUGGAUUUGAGAGAGAAAGGAGCUAUACAAUAAUGUAAAAUGAUGAGUUUUUAGAAUGAUAAACUUCAAUUUACACUCUAUUUAGAAUGAUAAUUUGUAAUUAACCUCAAAAAUGGGAAAAUUUUAUUUUACCUCAUUUACUGUUAAGAAGACAAAAAGAAAAAAAAAAUCAUCAACGUGUCUCUUAUUUCUCCUCAUCUUUUAGUUUACGUUUUGGGUUGUUGAUGAAGACUUCGUUUCCCAAGACCAAAAUACUCACUGGCUCAAACUGAUUAUGUUUUAACUAUUGAACGUUGAUUGAUAAUAAAAUGUGGGUGCAUGUCAAUUGGUGGUUCAAUGGGUAAAAUCCGUUAAAUCUCCAAUGGUGGUAUGAGAAGGUUACUCAUAUUUGAGGAGAGGAUUUUGGUUACAAGAAGUGGACUGUCCUUUGAGAAAAAAACAUUCAACAUAUUAACAUAAUUCUUAUUAAUCUUAUGCACUAAUACUCACCAACAAUUAUUUUAAAAAUGAUAAGAAGACCAAGCUCUCAUAAUGCAGUACAACAAUGAAAACAUUUAAUUUACACUCCUCAUUGGAUGCAUUAGUUUUUGGACGGUAUGAGCCCUUCUGAUAAAAGAACUUGGUUCAUCAAUUUUUCCAAAUUUGUUGCAGAGGAUCCAUCAGGAGCUGUAGCUUCCUCUGCAAAUCUCUUCCACUUUGAGGCCUUGUUUCUCAUUUGCUUACCUUUCUCUCCCCCCAUCAAUUCUCUCACCUGCUUCUCAACCUCAUUUCUACUCACUCGAUUAUCAUCUCCACCAUUAAUGAUCUCCAGUCCAACUCCCCACUCGUUGCAAGUGUAUCUACAAUUUGUGGGUUGAUCUCCCAAAAAAGGCCAACAGAUCAUCGGCACACCAGCACAUAAACUCUCAAUCGUUGAAUUCCAUCCACUGUGAGUAAAGAAUCCUCCGAUCGCUGGGUGGUUCAGAACCUCCUCUUGUGGACACCAACUUGCUAUGAAACCUUUCUCUUUAGCUUUAACCUCAAACUCAGCUGGCAAGUCGGCCGUCUCACCAGUAACAAGAUCAGGCCUAAUUAUCCAUAAAAAUGGGUGAUUGCUAUUUACGAGUCCCAUUGCAACCUCAAUAAGUUGCUGCUUAUUCAUAAUUAUAAUACUUCCGAAAUUUACAUAAAUCACAGAGUUGGGUUCCUUGGAAUCGAGCCAUUGCAAACACUCUGUUUCUUCUUUCAAUAGAUUGUAACCAAUAUAGUUUAACAUACCAUCUUUUUCUUCUAUUUGAUUGAGAAGAAGCUGAAGUGGGCCGAUGGUGAAUAACUGAAGAGGAAAAAUAAAUGAGAGAGCAUUUAGAACUUGUUGUUCCAAUGCAUCGAACGUAUGAAUAAUAAUUGCUGAAGCUUUGGAUGCAUUUUCCGUUGCUUCCACGCACAAGUUGAACAUAAUGUCUUUUGAAUCAGUCGAUCGAACAAAACUUGGAAGAUCUCUAAUUCGGAUAUCCUUCAUCCCUGGAAUCCAGUCUAUAAGUCUGCUCAAAUACUCCUUCGUAAGACAGCUUUUGUCUGCAAGUGCACAAAACCGAAUUAUAUUUUUGCUUCCGUCUGCAUUCAUAUUUAUACUUGAUCGCCAGUGAUUCUAUGUCACAGCUACUAAAGAUAACAUGAAAAAACAUUGAAACUUUGAUUCCAGAAAAAGGAAAAAGAAAAAAGAAAAAUACCAUUGACUGGGAAAAGACCUUUUUCUUUGAAUGUCCGGAAUUGUUUAAAUCCCAUGAAGCUACAAGCGGAGAUGGUGAACAACAGUACAAUAGGAAGUCCAAGCUGCUGAGCAGCUGUAACGGUGAAAGGCAAGAAGCCAUCUGAGAUGAUGCAGCUGACUGCAGGAUUCACAAUAUUUGAAGAAUCGUUGAGUUUGGCAAGCAGGUCAAGAAAUGGAUGCAACAAGACAUUAUUCAUGAUGCUUUCACAGAGAGAAUACAUGUCUUGAGUAGUGGAGCUUUCAUCUGAAGAAGCUGGAAGGCCAUCUGGGAUUGCUUCGAAUCGAAAGUUGGGCAAGCCAUCCAAAGAGUGUUCGCCUCUUGAUUUAAGAAAGCGUCUGUGAUUGAACUCUGUGUUGACAAAGGUUAUGUGAAAGCCUUUGUGAUGAAGAAGCUUUGCCAGUUUAAGCAUUGCUUUUAUGUGGCUUUGAAAGGGGAUCGGGAUGCAGACCGCAUGAACCUUGCAACAAGCUUUAGGUUUUGAUUCCAUCUUGAUUCUCUUCUCUCUCAAGGCCUUUGCAACUAAUGAUCAACCUUCCAUUAGCCACGAGUUAAAUUUCCAUUAUCCAAUAAAAUUUUCAUUUUAUUUUGUUUUUCCCACCAGCCAUUCAAAUCCGACCGAGAGAGACUCUGUCAUUAAAUAAUGUUUCACUCAUCAACCAAUUUAAUUUUAUGUUUUUCCAAAUUUAAUGAUAGUCGAUAUAGCGAAAUUUUAUUUAAAGAAUCUCGAUUAUGUGUCUUUUUAAAUUAUUAUUUCUAUUGUGACGGAGUAAAAUCUCUCUUAAAGAAUUUUUUUUAUAAUUGCACCUACGCUCAGUUUUAUAUUCUAAAUGAUAUAUCUAACUUGUCACCCAUUGAUUAAAUUGUAAAAUUAAAACAUUACUACACACGACAAACUGAUAGAUGAUGAGUUUUUAUAAAUGUAAUAAUAAUUUUUUUAAAUGGUUGUAAAUCGCAGCAUCAACGUGAUAUAUUUAUAUGAGAGUUGUGGAUUCCACUACAUUAUUUUUAUAAUAAAAGCAAACCAUAUCAUAUUUGUCAUGCCUAAUUCUAUCUUAAUCAUAUUGAUUUAAUUAGAUCUAGUCAACAAUUUUUUCUUUAUAAUAAAAGAAAGUGGACAAAUCAGUCCAAUCAGAUCUUAAUAGUAUUGAUUUGAUUAGAUCAAAUCAGUGAUUUUUGUAUUUAUAAUAAAAGUAAGUAGACAAAUGAUACACAUUGUUUUUAAAUAUUGAUUGCAUAUUAUAUUAUUAUAUUAUACAGAUAUUUAUAAUUGUUAUAACAGUAGAUGAUUGUACUAAUAUUUACAAUCAAAUAUAUAAAUGAGAUUUUACAUUAUUAUAUUAAAUUCUAUAAAGUAUAUGUCUAGACAACUAAUCAUCACAGACGAGAGAUGUUUAUGCUCCACUCGCAUUUUGUAAGAAAAAAAACUUGCAAAUAAACUCCACACAAUUAUACUUAAUUAAGGGAGGUUGAGUUUAUGGGAACUCAAAUCACUACUCUCAUAGUUACGCUUAACUUUGAGGAUAGUGAUUCACCAUUUGGCCAAAGAUCAAGUGGCUACAAAUGAUACACAUUAAACAUACAGAAAUUGCGAAAUCAAUCUGUAUAGCCACAUGCUGUAUUAAAUUUGAAAAACUAUAAUUAAAUUGGUCAAUAUGAGUGAAACAUUAGUCAAUACAUUUUUCAAUGGUAGAGUGUCCCUCUAGUCAGAUAUGGGUGGUGUAAAAAAAUAAAAUAAAAUGAAAAAUAUUUAAUUAAUUUCUUUGGCUAUAAACUAAGAGUAAUGUUUCUUAAGUAGAAAUACUUAAUUUGCAUCCCAAAUGGCAAAUGAUACAUUAUUAAUGAAAUUUCAUCAUUUGAAUCAGAAGCGAUAAGGUGUAAUAAUUAAUUAUCGGUUGAAUUAAUCAAAUAAUGAAACAAUAUCUACUAUAAUUAUUAUAUACAGACUCUGUUGAGAAUACAAAUUAUGAAGAGUCAACAGUUGACCAACAAUUGACGCAAAGGCCAUGCUGGCAUGCCACUCGAGCAAUCAUAUCCAGCAACCAACUGAUGCAGAUGAUGAAUUGUAUUCAAUGAGUUGGCAAAACUGUUAUGCUGAGGAAUAUCUGCAAGCUGGAAAUUCUAGAAGCUAUUCAAUGAUUGGUUGAUGUAGCUAAGAAUUUGUCUUAUUCAUUUUUGCUACCCCCUUGAGCAAGUUAUCAUUUUUCCUCUGCUCAAGUAUAAAUGUGUGAACACCAUGUAUAUUUCGAUCAUUCAAGUUAUAAUAUUAAAUGAAGAAUGUUUGUUUUCAGCUCUGCUUAUUUGCAUGCUUAAGCAAUUCAUAAGAAUUUAAGUGACUCAACAUCCUAAUUACAUAAAACAUAACAUUAUUGACAAACUAAAGUGCUCCUACAUGGCUUUUAUUUAUCUUUAGUAAAUAUGUAUCAUAUUUGAAAAACUAAUGAAAAUCAAUGAAGCGAGCUUGGUAUGUGCGGCUAAAUUAGAUUUCUAAUUCAAAACUCGUAAUGCAACUUGCCCACGACUAAUUUCGUCAUCGUUUUGCUAGUUAGUCAAUUUAACAAAAUGAUUAAAUGACAACUUUCCCAUCUUAUCCAUUCGACCACCUUCAAUUUUCAUUUUCUUUUUCAUUAUAAGUAGUUCGCACAGGCUUUGAUGAAGUAAAUAAAGAAAAUGGAAGCUAAUACAUGUGGUU
rnacentral:lncRNA from 1 species